rnacentral:lncRNA from 1 species
UGAACGGAGCUGUUGAUAAUUAUCGUUGAGUCCCAUUAGAAAUUGGUAGACUCGAUCUGAUUCCUAGGACUCAGAUAAAGAUUUUGAUGAACCGCAAGUACAAGAGGCAGUGGGUUGUAGGGAGGCUAAUUCAUUCCAUAGCUCUUUCAACCUUCCAUAAUAUGCGGUGAUCGAUUGUUGUUCUUGGUGAAGAUUUUCCAAUUCUCGUUUCAGAUGAAAGAUUUUUGUGCGAUUGCUUUGCUGGAAACGGGUUUCUAGUUCAACCCAUAAAUCAUUCAGUGUAUCACAGUAUAAGAGGCUGCCUGCAAGAGAUCGGUCGAUUGAGUGAAGGAGCCAAGACAUCACCAUGUCGUAGCAUCUGUCCCAAAGAGCAGCAGCAGUAUCAUUGGUUGGUCUUUUGAUGGUGCCGAGAACGAAUCCCAGUUUGUUUUUGGCGUUUAAUGCACGGGUUAUUGAUCAACGCCAGGCCGGGUAGUUAUCGCCAUUGAGAAGAGCAUCAACUAGAAGUUGAUUCGGU